UGGGGAAUUUUGCACAAUGGGGGAAACCCUGAUGCAGCGACGCCGCGUGAUUUAGAAGGCCUUCGGGUUGUAAAAAUCUUUUUUAUGGGAUGAAAAUGACAGUACCAUAAGAAUAAGGUCCGGCUAAAUACGUGCCAGCAGCCGCGGUAAUACGUAUGGACCGAGCGUUGUCCGGAAUCAUUGGGCGAAAAGGGUACGUAGGCGGCCCAGUAAGUUAGAAGUGAAAUCCUAUAGCUCAACUAUAGUAAGCUUUUAAAACUGCUCAUCUUGAGGUAUGGAAGGGAAAGUGGAAUUCCUAGUGUAGCGGUGAAAUUCGCAGAUAUUAGGAGGAAUACCGGUGGCGAAGGCGACUUUCUGGCCAUAAACUGACGCUGAGGUACGAAAGCGUGGGUAGCAAACAGG
rnacentral:rRNA from 1 species